CGCCUUGACUGUGAUGACUAUUUUUUUCCCCAUCUUAUCGACAAAUGACGAUAUUAUUGCUGUUCAAGCCAUUCUUGUCUGAGUCAAGGUG